GACGAACGCUGGCGGCGUGCUUAACACAUGCAAGUCGAACGAAGUGGCGAACGGGUGAGUAACGCGUAAUCAACCUGCCCUUCAGAGGGGGACAACAGUUGGAAACGACUGCUAAUACCGCAUACUGAAGGAGGGGAUUGCGUCUGAUUAGCUAGUUGGAGGGGUAACGGCCCACCAAGGCGAUUAUCAGUAGCCGGGCUGGGAGGAGGAACGGCGACAGUGGGACUUAGGCACGGGCCAGACUCCUACGGGGGGCAGCAGUGGGGAAUUUUCCGCAAUGGACGAAAGUCUUACGGAGCAACGGCGCGUGAGUGAUGACGGCUUUCGGGUUGUAAAGCUCUGUUAAUCGGGACGCGGUACCGGAAUAGAAAGCCACGGCUAACUACGUGCCAGCAGCCGCGGUAAUAC
rnacentral:rRNA from 1 species